GAUUAGGGUUUGGUUAGGGUUUGAUUUAGGCUUUGGAUUAGGGUUUGGAUUAGGGUUUGGUUAGGAUUUGAUUUAGGGUUUGGAUUAGGAUUUGAUUUAAGUUUUGGUUUAGAGUUUAGGAUUUGGAUUAGAGUUUAGGAUUGGAUUAGAGUUUAGAUUAGGAUUUAGGGUUUGGUUUAGGGUUUGAUUUAGGAUUUGGUUUAGGGUUUAGGUUUUGAAAUAGGGUUUUAUUUAGGGUUUAAUUUAAGGUAUGUUUAGGAUUUGACUUAGGAUUUAGGAUUUAUUAGGGUUUAAGAUUUAAUUAGGUUUGGUCUAAAGUUUGAGUGAAAUUCAAUAGGAUUUUAACUAGAAUUAAAUUAAGGUUGAAUUGACAUAUAUUUGAGUAAUAUUUUUGAUCAUUCUAAUAUUUUUUUAAGAAUUUUAUUGUUUGUUUGAAAUUUCUUUGAGUUGUUUUGAAUUUGAUUACGUUUAUUUACCAUUAUUAUAGUCUAAUUAGAGCGUUGUUAGUAUUCUAUUAGAAUUAAGAUUUUAUUAUUACAAUUUCAAUUCUUCUUUCUACAGCCAGGUGCCCGGAGCAUUCUCAAGCAAGACUUCACACAUUACGACAACAAUAUGUAACAUCAAAAAAUACUACAAAAAUGUAAAA
rnacentral:lncRNA from 1 species